rnacentral:rRNA from 1 species
GACGAAGGGGCUAGCGUUGUUCGGAAUUACUGGGCGUAAAGCGCGUGUAGGCGGUUGUUCAAGUCAGGUGUGAAAGCCUUGAGCUCAACUCAAGAAAUGCACUUGAUACUGGAUGACUAGAGGACCGGAGAGGAUAGUGGAAUUCCCAGUGUAGUGGUGAAAUACGUAGAGAUUGGGAAGAACACCAGUGGCGAAGGCGGCUAUCUGGACGGUUUCUGACGCUAAGACGCGAAAGCGUGGGGAGCAA